rnacentral:rRNA from 1 species
GACGAACGCUGGCGGCGUGCUUAACACAUGCAAGUCGAACGAUGAUGCCAGCUUGCUGGUGGAUUAGUGGCGAACGGGUGAGUAACACGUGAGCAACCUGCCCCUGACUUCGGGAUAACCGCGGGAAACCGUGGCUAAUACCGGAUAUGACGCGCUAUCGCAUGGUGGUGUGUGGAAAGAUUUAUCGGUUGGGGAUGGGCGCGCGGCCUAUCAGCUUGUUGGUGGGGUGAUGGCCUACCAAGGCGACGACGGGUAGCCGGCCUGAGAGGGUGACCGGCCACACUGGGACUGAGACACGGCCCAGACGCCUACGGGAGGCAGCAGUGGGGAAAAGUGCACAAUGGGCGCAAGCCGGGUGCAGCGACGCCGCGUGAGGGAUGACGGCCUUCGGGUUGUAAACCUCUUUCAGUAGGGAAGAAGGCCUUCGGGUUGACGGUACCUGCAGAAGAAGCGCCGGCUAACUACGU